GCAUCAUUUCCAUUGCCUCAGCUCCACUCUGCACUCGGGUGCCUUGUCGGAGCAGCUGCAGUGAGCACAGCUAAAAGUAGCACACGCUACACCCACAGCCGGAGCCUCCUUGUAGCCGGGGUUCCUGGGAGGACUGUUUCGGAGGGGGGAACCUAUGGAGGAAACCUCUCCUUCCCUCCUUAUUCUCCCUGGCCAAUAAAAUAGACAUUUCCAGCCUGUCUGAGGGAAAACACACAUUGCCGGAAAGAAGAAGAAACGUAGGAGGAAGAACAGUCCAUGGUUGGGGCCAGGUUUAAGAAACUAGUAGGGAAACAGGAGACCAUAGUUGGAGGUGACCACAGACUUGACUCACUUAGGAAGUUCAGCAUCAGGAAUGGUGCCCAGCACAAGCUCUCACCAGGAAGAAGCUGUAACAUUGGUUAGCUACAAUUCCUGAAGAACAAGAGACUCAGCUGUGAGCCAUCAACAGCCAACACUCCAGUGGCAGAGAAAAUUAGUCUGAAGGAGGAAUCUUCAUGGUACACCAUAACAGCCAUUACAAGACCCCUUCAAAGUGGGAAGAGUGGGGAGAGAGAAGAGCGAGGUAGCAGAAAUGCCUCACUGGACCAAUAUCACUUCUGACUGUGGUAAACUUUUUAAACUCACCCUUCUCUGAUAUCAUUUGUGGAUUCUUGGAGACCUGUGUUUAUCUCUCUCAUGACCAGGGAAUCUCUCACCUGACCAACCCUUCUAUGAAGGGUAAAACUACAGCUUCAGAAGAAACAAAGUUUUGGAGGUUCCUGGAAGUGACAAUGAAAGAACUAAGCUAAUCUGCAACCUUAAACGAUGGGGAAGAGUGUGGAUCUUGGCAAAGAUGGGUUUGGUUGCAAUCCCUGCCCUUAGCUGGGCAAAUCCUGUUGCUCUUCUGACCUUCAAUUUCUUCAUGGAAAAACGGGGAUAAAAGUAAUUACCUUUUAGGGUUGGUGGGAAAUUGAAAUGAGGUAUUAUAUAAGCAAGUACCUAAAGAAGAGUCUAUUAGGACAUUACAGUUCCUUCCCUAAUGAUUCUUCUUCCCUUUCACAGACUUGAAUGAGCUCCUUACUUGAAUGAGCUUUUUAGUGCCUAUUCCUUCUUUCCCAGGAUGGCCAGCUUGAUGAUAACUCCUUUCCAAGCAACAUCAGAAGUUUCAUCUCUUACCAGUAAAAUUUGAACAGACAUCGCAAAAGUCUGGGCUACUCCAGUUAAAGCUUGGAUUUGGGCUUCACCUUGGACAUGGUUACUUGAAGAUGCCAUUAGGUAAAUUAAUCUCACUCAAAUUCCUAACGAAGGGAGGCUUUUUCAUUGGUUUUCAUCUAACCCUUCUGUCUGUCCCAACAUUCAGCAGACCAUAAAAACACUGAGUGCUAUCAGGAAAAAUUGUGAAAAGCUAUGAAAUGAACCACAAAAGUUAUGAGACAUCUGCAGUGGAAAAAUGAGACACUGUCUACAGCACUGUUGCUGUCGUCUCUGGCUUUCACUGUCUUUGAUCUGCUUUAUAACUCUGUAUGUUGUAGAAAAUGAAUAAUAAUCCAAAUGAUUGUUGUCCAUAAAAAAGAAAUGAACAGCAUUCGGUGGAAAGCAAGUGACUAAUUUUGCAUCUAUCUGUAACUUCAUUUCAACAUUCCUUAUUGCCCACGUAUCUGUGGUUCUUUGAAUUCUUCUUUAGACUGGUUGUAACAUCUUACUG